AGCAGCAGCCGCGGGAAUACGAAGGGUGCAAGCGUUACUCGGAAUUACUGGGCGUAAAGCGUGCGUAGGUGGUGGUUUAAGUCCGUUGUGAAAGCCCUGGGCUCAACCUGGGAAUUGCAGUGGACACUGGAUCACUAGAGUGUGGUAGAGGAUAGUGGAAUUUCCGGUGUAGCAGUGAAAUGCGUAGAGAUCGGAAGGAACAUCUGGGCGAAGGCGACUAUCUGGGCCAACACUGACACUGAGGCACGAAAGCGUGGGGAGCAAACAGGAUUAGAUACCCCCGUAGUCCCUGUCUCUUAUACA
rnacentral:rRNA from 1 species